rnacentral:rRNA from 1 species
GACGAACGCUGGCGGCGUGCUUAACACAUGCAAGUCGAACGGAAAGGCCCUUCGGGGUACUCGAGUGGCGAACGGGUGAGUAACACGUGGGUGAUCUGCCCUGCACUUUGGGAUAAGCCUGGGAAACUGGGUCUAAUACCGAAUAGGACCACGCGCUUCAUGGUGUGUGGUGGAAAGCUUUUGCGGUGUGGGAUGGGCCCGCGGCCUAUCAGCUUGUUGGUGGGGUAAUGGCCUACCAAGGCGACGACGGGUAGCCGGCCUGAGAGGGUGACCGGCCACACUGGGACUGAGAUACGGCCCAGACUCCUACGGGAGGCAGCAGUGGGGAAUAUUGCACAAUGGGCGCAAGCCUGAUGCAGCGACGCCGCGUGAGGGAUGACGGCCUUCGGGUUGUAAACCUCUUUCAAUAGGGACGAAGCGCAAGUGACGGUACCUAUAGAAGAAGCACCGGCCAACUACGUGCCAGCAGCCGCGGUAAUACGUAGGGUGCGAGCGUUGUCCGGAAUUACUGGGCGUAAAGAGCUCGUAGGUGGUUUGUCGCGUUGUUCGUGAAAACUCACAGCUUAACUGUGGGCGUGCGGGCGAUACGGGCAGACUAGAGUACUGCAGGGGAGACUGGAAUUCCUGGUGUAGCGGUGGAAUGCGCAGAUAUCAGGAGGAACACCGGUGGCGAAGGCGGGUCUCUGGGCAGUAACUGACGCUGAGGAGCGAAAGCGUGGGGAGCGAACAGGAUUAGAUACCCUGGUAGUCCACGCCGUAAACGGUGGGUACUAGGUGUGGGUUCCUUCCUUGGGAUCCGUGCCGUAGUUAACGCAUUAAGUACCCCGCCUGGGGAGUACGGCCGCAAGGCUAAAACUCAAAGGAAUUGACGGGGGCCCGCACAAGCGGCGGAGCAUGUGGAUUAAUUCGAUGCAACGCGAAGAACCUUACCUGGGUUUGACAUGCACAGGACGCCGGCAGAGAUGUCGGUUCCCUUGUGGCCUGUGUGCAGGUGGUGCAUGGCUGUCGUCAGCUCGUGUCGUGAGAUGUUGGGUUAAGUCCCGCAACGAGCGCAACCCUUGUCCUAUGUUGCCAGCGGGUUAUGCCGGGGACUCGUAGGAGACUGCCGGGGUCAACUCGGAGGAAGGUGGGGAUGACGUCAAGUCAUCAUGCCCCUUAUGUCCAGGGCUUCACACAUGCUACAAUGGCCGGUACAAAGGGCUGCGAUGCCGUGAGGUGGAGCGAAUCCUUUCAAAGCCGGUCUCAGUUCGGAUCGGGGUCUGCAACUCGACCCCGUGAAGUCGGAGUCGCUAGUAGUCGCAGAUCAGCAACGCUGCGGUGAAUACGUUCCCGGGCCU